CGCACUAGUCGGGGAGAUAGCGGUGCCCUGUAGCCUGCAAUCCGCUACAGCAGGGAUGAAUCCCCGCACCCGGGUCGGUGAUUUUGUUGCAGUCCGUGUAAGUGGUGUUGAGAGACCGGUCUUGCGCAACGUGCUCCCGUGAACCAUGUCAGGCGGGGAACCGAGCAGCAUUAAGCGGAUCGGCGCGUGUGCCGCAAGGAAGCCGUUUUUGAGCUAACUGCACGAUAACGGAUGGGG
rnacentral:SRP_RNA from 1 species